rnacentral:rRNA from 1 species
GACGAACGCUGGCGGCGUGCCUAAUACAUGCAAGUUGAGCGCUGAAGGUUGGUACUUGUACCGACUGGAUGAGCAGCGAACGGGUGAGUAACGCGUGGGGAAUCUGCCUGUGAGCGGGGGACAACAUUUGGAAACGAAUGCUAAUACCGCAUAACAACUUUAAACACAAGUUUUAAGUUUGAAAGAUGCAAUUGCAUCACUCAAAGAUGAUCCCGCGUUGUAUUAGCUAGUUGGUGAGGUAAAGGCUCACCAAGGCGAUGAUACAUAGCCGACCUGAGAGGGUGAUCGGCCACAUUGGGACUGAGACACGGCCCAAACUCCUACGGGAGGCAGCAGUAGGGAAUCUUCGGCAAUGGACGCAAGUCUGACCGAGCAACGCCGCGUGAGUGAAGAAGGUUUUCGGAUCGUAAAACUCUGUUGGUAGAGAAGAACGUUGGUGAGAGUGGAAAGCUCAUCAAGUGACGGUAACUACCCAGAAAGGGACGGCUAACUACGUGCCAGCCGCCGCCGUAA